rnacentral:misc_RNA from 1 species
AAGUCGUAACAAGGUCUCCGUAGGUGAACCUGCGGAGGGAUCAUUACUGAGUGAGGGCCUUCGGGCUCGACCUCCAACCCUUUGUGAACACAACUUGUUGCUUCGGGGGCGACCCUGCCGUUUCGACGGCGAGCGCCCCCGGAGGCCUUCAAACACUGCAUCUUUGCGUCGGAGUUUGAGUAAAUUAAACAAAACUUUCAACAACGGAUCUCUUGGUUCUG